rnacentral:siRNA from 1 species
AGAGAAUGGUGGUUCCUUGUGUUG